rnacentral:rRNA from 1 species
UACGUAGGGGGCAAGCGUUGUCCGGAUUUAUUGGGCGUAAAGAGCGUGUAGGCGGCUAAAUAGGUCCGUUGUGAAAACUCGAGGCUCAACCUCGAGAUGCCGAUGGAAACCAUUUGGCUAGAGUCCGGAGGAGGAGAGUGGAAUUCCCGGUGUAGCGGUGAAAUGCGCAGAUAUCGGGAAGAACACCCGUGGCUAAGGCGGCUCUCUAGUACGGUACUGACGCUGAGACGCGAAAGCGUGGGGAGCGAACAGG